rnacentral:rRNA from 1 species
UACGGGGGGGGGAAGCGUUGUUCGGAAUUACUGGGCGUAAAGGGCUCGUAGGCGGCCAACUAAGUCAUACGUGAAAUCCCUCAGCUUAACUGGGGAACUGCGUGUGAUACUGGAUGGCUUGGAUUUGGGAGAGGGAUGCGGAAUUCCAGGUGUAGCGGUGAAAUGCGUAGAUAUCUGGAGGAACACCGGUGGCGAAGGCGGCAUCCUGGACCAAUAUUGACGCUGAGGAGCGAAAGCCAGGGGAGCAAACGGG